GUGUUUAGCUCAGUUGGUAGAGCAGUUGACUUUUAAUCAAUUGGUCGCAGGUUCGAAUCCUGCACGACCCACCA
rnacentral:tRNA from 1 species